ACUGCUAGAAGGCAUAUGCGUAAAUCCAAUAGCAGACUUGAUAAACACGGAAUUAGCAAACAGCCAAACGAAACUCACUGCGCUGUUGUCUUUCUACAAAGACAUACGACAUUUAUAUUUAUUGUUUUUCUUCAUAUUGGAAACACAAGAACAUGAGAGAGAGAAAGGUGAAGACGCAAACAAGUGAGAACAUGAAUCUUGGGCGGAUUUUCCGAUGGCGUAGUUUCGAUGAUUUAAGAGCAGACUUCUCUCGUGAUCCAGACAGAGACGUGAAGUGUCUGAAUUAUCAGAAUCAGCAUGAGAACACAAGUCUCUUCUGAACUCUCCAACACCUGACGACAACAUCACUCACAAAGUGGGAUGCAUUAUUAGGUUUACCAGACCAUAAAUAAUCUUAUGAGAAAAAGAAAAAUGCUGAAUAAACUGUCAGUAUUAGGCUUUGUGAAAAGAACGAGAAUAAAAUGUAAAUAGCGUCACACCAAGUCACUCAUUUCAUUCUAUUAUAUGAGUUUCUGUUGUAAAUGUAAUAUUCUGCUCAUUCUAUUUAUGUCAGUUUGCUUUAUAUCAUGAUUUGAAGCAAACAUCUUUGAAAGAUGUUUGUAAUUAAAGAUGUAGAAUUUUGUACCUGCUAUUUUUUUGUAAUUAUUCUCAGUAUUUGUGAUUUUGCUUUCCAAGGUUGUUUGUUUACCUGGUUUUUACAUUUCUUUGAAAUAUUUACUGUAACAGAACUGGACUAAAAACUGAACUGAACUGAACAUAUUGAGACAAGUGAAUCUGCAUCCUGGAGAUACAGACAUGCCAUUUUUAAUAAAAUCCAUAAAAUGA